AGGAGAGGCGCACCUCCAACAGCGAGAGCUCAGAAAGGUGAGCAAGAGAGGCACCCUCAUCCCUAAUGGGCACCUUGGGCACAGAGGCCACUUGGCAGGUGACCCCCUUCCCCAUGAGCUGUGGCUGAGCUGACACCAACACUGGAGCACAGAAGGUGAGCCAGGGGGAUGCAGCCCCUCAGGGAGCUGAGGGGUGCCAGCUGCAGCCACAGUGCCCAGGCUCAUGAAGGAGGCCAAGGUCAGAGCUUAGAUUUCUGGAAUGGGGAAGGGGGGGGUGAGAGGAAAAUGAAGAUGAGAAUAAAUGGAGGUGGGAGGAUGGGGGCAGGAGGAGGUGGUGCAGGGGUGAAGGAGGAAAGAUGAACAGUGAAGGAACAGGGCAAGAAGGAUGAGCAGGAAGAGGACCAGCACAGAAAGGGGGAGCAGGAGGACAGGAGGCCAAGACCAACCCAAGCCAGUUCCUUGAGAGUCAUGUUGGGGUCCCUGUAGAUAUUUUACUUGAGUGAUCCCUUGGUUUGAUGCUCAGACCUGGGGAACCUCAAGGUACUGAUUGAGGCCUGUGUGGGAAAUCACUGGCCUGAUUCAAGACUAACCACAAGAGCUUACUCUUCACAUCAGUACCCUCCUGACACUACUAACAAGCAGUAGGAGAGGAGGAGUGAAGGAAGAUCAGGGUUCAGGGACAGCUGGUUGUGAGGGUCCAAGUGCCCAGUUCCACUGCAUCCCGGCCACCCUCCCCUGCGUGGAGAGACGACCCUCCCCCAAAGGAAAGUCAAAUUUCAGGCCAACGGUUCAGGGCUGCUCCUGGCCAAUGGGUGGGCUCCACUGUGGGUGGAAUAGCAGUGACCCCAGAGUUCUGUCUGUUGCCUGGCACCCACUCUGCUUCCUGUGCCCAGGCAGUUGGAGGCCCUUGUGGUUGCUGACCUGCUCUGAUGCUCGCUCGCCUGCCCGCCCUGCUCUGACACACCUGAUUCCCACACCUUCCUGGGUGACUUAUUAUCAUUUUGAGAGGAGAGGCCCAUAUCCAACAGUGAGGAUCAGAAAGGCAGUUGGAGGCCCUUGUGGUCUCUGACCUGCUCUGACACUCGCCUGCCCUCCCUGUUCUGACCCACCGACCUGAACUUGGGUCCAUUUAUACAGCAGAGACCAGCUCUAACAGCAAGAGGCCAGAAAGGUAAGAAAAACCUGCACUGCAUACUGACUCUUGGGGACAGGGGCAAGCGGGUCGGUGACUCAGUCCUCCCUGGUCUCGGCCAAGAUGAUGCCAAACCCAGCCCUGACCAUGAGCCAGCUGCGUGCAGUCCCUUGUGUCUCCAAGGGGUGAAGGCUGCUGCCCACAGUGCCUGAUUCCAUGUGAGGGGCCCAAGGUCAGAGUUCAGAAAACUGACUCCAGGUGGGGGGCACGGUGGGAAGAAGAUUAGACAGAGAGGUUUCAGGAGGAGACGAAGUGGAGGAAAGAGGGAGGGGAAGGGCAGGAAGGAACAAAGGAGCAGGAGGAAAAGUGUAGCAGGAGGAGGACAAAGGAGCAUGAGGAGAUGGAUGGAUGGAGGCGCAGCAGGGGGUCCAGGCCAGCCCGAGCCAGCUCUAUGGGUUCCAGGAAGGGUCCCUGCAAAAGCCAUGCCUGAAUGAGCCCCUGGUUUGAUGGUUGGACCUCAGGAACCUCAGGGAGCUGGGUGAGGAUGAGGUGGGAAAUCAUUGGCCUGAUGCCAGUCCAACUGCAAGGGCUUAGUGUCCACAUCCAUAUCCACUUGGCACUUCUGACAAGCAGCGGGAGAGGAGGAGUUAAAGAAGGUCAGGGUUGGAGGACCAGCUGGUCAUGAGAGUCCAGGUGCCUAUGACCAGUUCAGCCAGGCUCCACCUGCUCCUGGUCCCACUCCCCUGUGUGGAGAGAGGAUCUCAUACCAAAGGAAAGUCAUUUUAUAGGUCAAGAGUUCAGUGCUGCUCCUGGCCAAGGGGAUGGCCCAUUUCCACUGUGGGUGGAAAGGCAGGGGUCCCAGAGUUCUGCACCCUGCCUUAUACCCACUCUGCUUCAUGUCACCAGGCUACUGGAGUCCCUCAGAGUUGCUGAUCUG
ensembl:lncRNA